AAACCCCUGCCGUGCUCGUGUUCGGUGGAAGUUUUUUUGAGCCAACAUUUAUGAAACGGGAACCUUCUCUUGCCUUGGUGUGCAUGUUCUGUGUUUGCAGAAAAGCCUAAAGAGGCAAUGAGGUGCCCACCUGUGCAAACAGGUUCAAGAGAUGCUGCCGACACGGCACCGUGGUGGGGGUUAC
rnacentral:other from 1 species